rnacentral:rRNA from 1 species
GGAGGGGUCGAGCGUUAUUCGGAUUCACUGGGCGUAAAGGGAGCGUAGGCGGGGUCGUGGGUCUGCCGUGAAAUCCACCGGCUCAACCGGUGAACUGCGGUCGAAACUACGACUCUUGAGCUCGGUAGAGGAAGGCGGAAUUCCUGGUGUAGCGGUGGAAUGCGUAGAUAUCAGGAAGAACACCGGUAGCGAAGGCGGCCUUCUGGGCCGUAGCUGACGCUGAGGCUCGAAAGCCGGGGGAGCGAACAGGAUUAGAUACCCUGGUAGUCCCGGCCGUAAACGAUGGGUACUAGGUGUAGGGGGUACUGACCCCCCCUCUGUGCCCGCAGUUAACGCAUUAAGUACCCCGCCUGGGGAGUACGCGCGCAAGCGUG